UGAAUACGAGACGCUAAGGCGUCGAAGUAGUGUAUGUCAUACUUCCAAGAAAAGCUUGCACUGUCAUAGAUAAAAAACGCCUGUACCAUAACCGACACAGGUGGGUAGGUAGAGUAUGCUAAGGGGCGCGAGAUAACUCUCUCUAAGGAACUCGGCAAAAUAACUCCGUAACUUCGGGAGAAGGAGUGCCUUAUUCGUAAGGUUGCAAUAACAAGAUCCAAGCAACUGUUUAUCAAAAGCACAGGUCUCCGCUAAGUCGUAAGACGAUGUAUGGGGGCUGACGCCUGCCCAGUGCCAGAAGGUUAAAGAAGUUGGUUAGCAAUUGCGAAGCUGAUAACUGAAGCCCUGGUGAACGGCGGCCGUAACAAUAACGGUCCUAAGGUAGCGAAAUUCCUUGUCGGGUAAGUUCCGACCCGCACGAAAGGCGUAAUGAUUUGGAUACUGUCUCGGAGAGGGGCUCGGUGAAAUAGACUUGUCUGUGAUGAUGCGGACUACCUGCACCAGGACAGAAAGACCCUAUGAAGCUUUACUGUAACUUGAAAUUGAAAUUGGACUUUAUUCGCGCAGUAUAGGUGGGAGGCGUUGAUUAUAAUCUUGUGGGAUUAUUGGAGCCAUCAGUGAGAUACCACUCUUGUAAUGUUAGAUUUCUAACUUUGAAUCAUUAUCUGGUCAAAGAACAGUUUCAGGCGGGCAGUUUGACUGGGGCGGUCGCCUCCUAAACGGUAACGGAGGCGUACAAAGGUUUCCUCUGAACGGUUAGAAAUCGUAUCUAGAGUGUAAAGGCAUAAGGAAGCUUGACUGUGAGACCUACAAGUCGAGCAGGGACGAAAGUCGGUCUUAGUGAUCUGACGGUACUGAGUGGAAAGGCCGUCACUCAACGGAUAAAAGUUACUCUAGGAUAACAGGCUGAUCUCCCACAAGAGUUCACAUCGACGGGGAGGUUUGGCACCUCGAUGCCGGCUCAUCGCAUCCUGGGGCGGUAGUACGUCCCAAGGGUUGGGCUGUUCGCCCAUGAAAGCGGUACGCGAGCUGGGUUCAGAACGUCGUGAGACAGUUCGGUCCAUAUCCGGUGUAGGCGUUAGAAUAUUGAGAGGAGCCUUCUUUAGUACGAGAGGACCGAGAAGGACAUACCUCUGGUGUACCAGUUAUCGUGCCAACGGCAAACGCUGGGUAGCUAUGUAUGGAGUGGAUAACCGCUGAAAGCAUCUAUGUGGGAAGCCCACCUCAAGAUAAG
rnacentral:rRNA from 1 species